rnacentral:misc_RNA from 1 species
GAUGAAGAACGUAGCGAAAUGCGAUAAGUAAUGUGAAUUGCAGAAUUCAGUGAAUCAUCGAAUCUUUGAACGCACAUUGCGCCCGCCAGUAUUCUGGCGGGCAUGCCUGUUCGAGCGCCAUUUCAACCAUCAAGCCCCCGGCUUGUGUUGGGGACCUGCGGCUGCCGCAGGCCCUGAAAACCAGUGGCGGGCUCGCUAGUCACUCCGAGCGUAGUAAUACAUCUCGCUCAGGGCGUGCUGCGGGUUCCGGCCGUUAAAAAGCCUUAUUUACCCAAGGUUGACCUCGGAUCGGGUAGGAAGACCCGCUGAACUUAAGCAUAUCAAUAAGCGGAGGA